rnacentral:rRNA from 1 species
UACGAGGGGUGCAAGCGUUGCUCGGAAUUAUUGGGCGUAAAGGGUAGGUAGGUGGUCUCGUUUGUCUGGGGUGAAAUCCUUGAGCUUAACUCAAGAAGUGCCCCAGAAACGGCGAGACUUGAGUACUGGAGAGGGUCGUGGAAUUCCCGGUGUAGCGGUGAAAUGCGUAGAGAUCGGGAGGAACACCAGCGGCGAAGGCGGCGACCUGGACAGUAACUGACACUCAACUACGAAAGCGUGGGGAGCAAACAGG